rnacentral:rRNA from 1 species
GAAAGUCUAUAAUGCGGCGUGCAUAUGUACCGCCGGGGGGAUGCCGGACUACCUAAUACUAUACUACAGUGUGGUGUGUGGGUCUUUGUCUGGUGUACGGGUGUGGGCGGGCCCCAGGAAAAAAGGGAAAAGGGGAAAACGGGGGGGAGAUAUACUAUAUAUAUAUAUAUAUUGGGAGAGCUGGGUCACGUGGGCAUGUGCAGGCAUGACGUCAUGGUGCACGGGUGUCGCCGAGGUUCGGGUGCCGAGGAUUGCGGUCAACGGUUCGGGUGUCGGUCGUGCGGCGCUCAUAAAUCGGAAGUUUUGUUUCCACUUGGUGCCCGCUUUUCCCACUUUUGGCCGUUUUUCCACUUUUGGCCGUUUUUCGCCCUGUGAUUUAUCUAUAGCGUGAAAGAGCGUGUAGAGUUACCCCCCUCCGAGUAUCCCCCCCAUUGGGUG